GGUCAUGAGCGUCAGCGACAAGCCCUGGCUAGCUGACCGGCAACCCUCGCUCCGCGGUGGGGUGCCCCAGGUGACGACCGGACCGACGUUUCGGUAAUGACGCAUCGGUAAGCGCGAGGG
rnacentral:ncRNA from 2 species